UGUCCUGAAAGAAUUAUCAAUAGUUGUAAACAUUCAAAAGAGUGCAUUGGAACUUCUGCAAUCCAAAAACAAAAUGUGUAAACACAACCAAAAGUUUUCAAGAAUUUCAUUACGAGACGAAAACAUGUUUAUAAAGAUUUGGUUUCAAUGUUUAUUAAUCAUACGCCAAGUUGACUUAACCAAGAUAUAUUUAUACGCUGUCUACGCCGAUUUUUUCCGGGAAAAACUCAAUUUGCCCAACGUGUUGUUUUUGUAAUUUUAACAGACAUCUUUAACUGACUACAAUUAACUGUAACCGGAAACAAGCAUUUAAGUCUCACCUGCAUAAUGAAGUAGUGCUUAGUCAUUAGCUUGGAUUUGGUGAACUCACUGCGGUCCUUGGGAAUGCAGGAUAUGACCAAAGGACAUAUAUUGUCCCAUUUACAGUGCUGCACCAUAAGUUGCUCCUCAUCGUCUGGUCCGUGGACAGUAAAGCCCAUUUCGGAUUUAUCCAACCGGUGACCACAGGAUUCGCAGCUGCAAUGGCCACUUUCUCAUUCUGAAGAUGGAUGGGAAGGAGUUGUGAGAGACGAAGAGCUCCCACCUGAAUCCUC